rnacentral:lncRNA from 1 species
AUUAACUAAGUAAACUAUUUGAAAUAAUUGAAAGGGAAAGGAUAACUACCAAGUUUACCUCUUGGCAAGGCGUUCGGUGUUUUUAAGUCCUCCGAACGGGACUCUCCUCUUUCUCAAUUGUCCUAGGAUUCGUUGGGUGGCGUAGUCGGUACUUCCGGCGGCGCCUCCUCUUCAUGUAUAGUUAUCUUCUCUUUCCAUACCUGACUCGGUGCUACGGUCUCCUCUGGAUAAUUCUGUUUAAACUCUACGUCUUCUGACCUUACAACUUCUCCUUCAUAGUCUGCCCAUCCGUCCUUGAUGAUUUUCCUCCUCUGGUUGCGUCGUUUUCUUACCUACUUAGAUUCUUCAAAGAUGUAGUUAGGGUCAGUAAAAUAGCAGCGUACCUUCUCUGAGGGGAAGUGCAUAUGGACUUCUCCAGUUCCAAUGUAGAUAAUUGCUUUAACGGUGCUGAGGAACGGUCUUCCAAGGAUGAUGGGUGGAUCGUAUUCGUCUUCUCCCAUGUCAAUAACUUGAAAGUCUGUGUAGACAAAGUGAUCGUCUAUUUUGACUGGGACAUCAGUUACUGUUCCUUUAACUUCUCGAAAUGACUGAUCUGCCAUCUGGAGCU